rnacentral:rRNA from 1 species
AGGUAAGCUACUAAGAGCGAAUGGUGGAUGCCUUGGUUGGUAGAGGCGAUGAAAGACGUGCUAGACUGCGAUAAGUCUCGGGGAGUUGUCAAGGAGCUUUGAUCCGGGAAUUUCUGAAUGGGGAAACCCAGUAUAUAGUGAUAUAUACUACCUAUAUGGAGCAAACGUGGGGAAUUGAAACAUCUUAGUACCCACAGGAAAAGAAAUCAAAUGAGAUUACGAAAGUAGCGGCGAGCGAAAUCGUAAAAGGGCAAACCACUAGUUUACUAGUGGGGUUGUAGGACUGUAACAUAGACUAAAAAGAGUUAAUAGAAUAAUCUGGAAAGUUUAAGCAUAGAGGGUGAUACUCCCGUAUAUGAAAACUCUUUUUUACUUAACAGUAUCCUGAGUAGGGCGAGGCACGUGAAACCUUGUCUGAAUCUGGGAAGACCACUUUCCAACCCUAAAUACUACUACCAAACCGAUAGUGAACAAGUACCGUGAGGGAAAGGUGAAAAGAACGGGGGUGACCCGAGUGAAAUAGAACCUGAAACCAUUUGCUUACAAUCAUUCAGAGCACGAUUCUUUAUGACGUGUGAUGGACUGCCUUUUGCAUAAUGAGCCUGCGAGUUGUGAUAUCUGGCAAGGUUAAGGAAAUCCGGAGCCGUAGCGAAAGCAAGUCUUAAUAGGGCGUUUAGUCAGAUAUUGCAGACCCGAAACGAAGUGAUCUAUCCAUGAGCAGGUUGAAACCGGUGUAAGAGCCGGCGGAGGACCGAACCCGCUGACGUUGAAAAGUCUUGGGAUGACUUGUGGAUAGGGGUGAAAGGCCAAUCAAACUUCGUGAUAGCUGGUUCUCUCCGAAAUAUAUUUAGGUAUAGCGUUAUGUAGUAAUUAGAGGGGGUAGAGCACUGAAUGGGCUAGGGCAUACACCAAUGUACCAAACCCUAUCAAACUCCGAAUACCUUUAAUGUAAUCAUAGCAGUCAGGCGGCGAGUGAUAAAAUCCGUCGUCAAGAGGGGAACAACCCAGACUACCGACUAAGGUCCCAAAAUCUUAUUUAAGUGGAAAACGAUGUGAAGUUACUUAAACAACCAGGAGGUUGGCUUAGAAGCAGCCAUCCUUUAAAGAUAGCGUAAUAGCUCACUGGUCUAGUGAUUUUGCGCGGAAAAUAUAACGGGGCUAAAAUAAGUACCGAAGUCGUAGACUUAGUUUUACUAAGUGGUAGGAGAGCGUUGUAUUUAGCGUUGAAGAUGUACCGGUAAGGAGCGUUGGAGCAAAUACAAGUGAGCAUGCAGGCAUGAGUAGCGUUAAAUCAGGUGAGAAUCCUGAUCGCCGAAAACCCAAGGUUUCCUACGCGAUGCUCGUCAUCGUAGGGUUAGUCGGGUCCUAAGCAAAGUCCGAAAGGGGUAUGCGAUGGAAAAUUGGUUAAUAUUCCAAUACCAAUUAUUAUGUGCGAUGGAAGGACGCUUAAAGUUAGUGGAGCUAACUGAUGGAAUAGUUAGUCUAAGGUCGUAGGUUGAGUUAUAGGCAAAUCCGUAACUCUUUAUCCGAAAGCUUAAAGGCUUACAAAGCUCUUCGGAGUAGCGUAAGAAUCCAUGAUACUAUAGAGCCAAGAAAAGUUUCUAAGUUUAGUAAUAAUUGCCCGUACCGUAAACCGACACAGGUGGGUGGGAUGAGUAUUCUAAGGCGCGUGGAAGAACUCUCUUUAAGGAACUCUGCAAAAUAGCACCGUAUCUUCGGUAUAAGGUGUGCCUACCAGGGUGCAAGCCCUAGAGGUUACAACAAAGAGUCCCUCCCGACUGUUUACCAAAAACACAGCACUCUGCUAACACGUAAGUGGAUGUAUAGGGUGUGACGCCUGCCCGGUGCUCGAAGGUUAAUUGAUGGAGUUAGCAUUAGCAAAGCUCUUGAUCGAAGCCCGAGUAAACGGCGGCCGUAACUAUAACGGUCCUAAGGUAGCGAAAUUCCUUGUCGGUUAAAUACCGACCUGCAUGAAUGGCGUAACGAGAUGGGAGCUGUCUCAAAGAGGGAUCCAGUGAAAUUGUAGUGGAGGUGAAAAUUCCUCCUACCCGCGGCAAGACGGAAAGACCCCGUGGACCUUUACUAUAGCUUGACACUGCUACUUGGAUAAAGAUGUGCAGGAUAGGUGGGAGAUUAUGAUCUAUAGAUGCUAGUCUAUAAGGAGUCAUCCUUGAGAUACCACUCUUCUUUAUUCGGGUAGCUAACUAGCCUAAGUUAUCCUUAGGUAGGACAAUGUCUGGUGGGUAGUUUGACUGGGGCGGUCGCCUCCCAAAUAAUAACGGAGGCUUACAAAGGUUGGUUCAAAACGGUUGGAAAUCGUUUGUAGAGUAUAAAGGCAAAAACCAGCUUAACUGCGACACCGACAAGUGGAGCAGAGACGAAAGUCGGUCUUAGUGAUCCGGUGGUUCUGUGUGGAAGGGCCAUCGCUCAAAGGAUAAAAGGUACCCCGGGGAUAACAGGCUGAUCUCCCCCAAGAGCUCACAUCGACGGGGAGGUUUGGCACCUCGAUGUCGGCUCAUCGCAUCCUGGGGCUGGAGCAGGUCCCAAGGGUAUGGCUGUUCGCCAUUUAAAGCGGUACGCGAGCUGGGUUCAGAACGUCGUGAGACAGUUCGGUCCCUAUCUGCCGUGGGCGUAAGAAGAUUGAGGAGAGUUGACCCUAGUACGAGAGGACCGGGUUGAACCAACCACUGGUGUAUAAGUUGUCCUGCCAAGGGCACCGCUUAGUAGCUAAGUUGGGAUGUGAUAAGAGCUGAAAGCAUCUAAGCUCGAAGCCAACUCCAAGAUUAAUCUUCUUUUAAGAGCUCUUAUAGACUAUAAGUUUGAUAGGCUGGGUGUGUAAUUGAUGUAAGUCAUUUAGCUGACCAGUACUAAUAGCUCGUUUGCUUAUCUAU